UGAUUGGCCGGGCCCGCGCCCGGGGAGCCCCUCAUUCUACUGUGUCCGAAAGAUUCGAAACUCCAAAAGCUCUACUGUGUGCCUCGAGGAGGGGAGGGGGCGCGCCAGGGAAGGAGUGGAAAAAAGUGGGCGAGGAGGAGCGUUGAAAAUAUCGUGACAAGAAGUUUCCGUGCGCCCAAGAGCGUGUGAAUUGCUCCUAAUUACCGUGUCCGGUGUGACUCUACGUAGACGUGUGUAACCCCUCCGCUUCUGGGGCGCCGGCUAGGCUGCACUACUCUCACUGGCCGGGGGCGCUUGGCAAGGCCGAGCUUCCCAAGUGGCCCUGGCGGCCUAGGGCGGGAUGGGGGCAUAUGACAAUUCAAUUACCGCGGUCGGGUGGGAAUACAACGGGGGCUCGGGUGCGGGCAAGGGAGGGUGAUCAUGGCAUAAAUGCCAAGGCAAUGUUUCCUGUCUCCUUCGACUGUGAUUCGGCUUGCUCCCAAGUCCAACGCGUUUGUGGUAGUUGGGGAGGUUUUGUUUUGUUUUUUUCCCUAAAGCCUUUAAACCUCGAUUCCUUCAUUUUAAAAGUCCUGAUACGUUAAGCAUCAAGGAGGAUCCUCUUGAAGGAUGGAUGGUCGCGCAUCUGUUCGAUACUUCCCGGAAGAAGACAAGGUCGCUGCGGGACCCCCGCCCCCUGCUCAGGAACAGGUUUCACUUACGUCUUAUUCUACCUGUGUUGACCUCUGAGGAACAGCUCCAUCUGCAGAGGAGAGUAAAGAAAAUUCAUUUAAAUAAUGAAAAAAGUGAGCUUCCUCGUCGUUCUCCCUCCACUCCCGAUCGUGCGUUUUUUGCGAUGCUCUUUGAACCUCCAGAGAAGCGAGGGUCUGUCCAUGCCGUUUCAGGGGCGGUCACACUGGGCCCACAGAAUAGGUUCAGGGCCUCGGGGCCUUAGGAUGCAUUCUCUGCCGCCAGCAGAACUAGGCUCCCUGACCUUCUGGCUGCUUCUGACCUUUGGAACUAGGGACUGGGGAAGGAAGGCACCACCACCAACAGGGCUCCUUCCGCAGACUCCAGAACCUCACACCCCAGGAGAGCCAUGGCAUGCUCCGCUGGAAGAAGUCAACCCAGAAGAUGAGGCUGGAGGGACUUGGGAGAAGAUGAAUGAAGGAAUCGAGUGGAGAACUUCCAGAAAGUUCAACAGGUUCGGGCUCCAGGGAGCUUUGACCUGGACAGUCCGUGAUAGGGAUCCAAUCCUGAUCCCAGGCUCCCUGUGAAUGGGUGUAGGAGCUAAAGGAGAUGGGCUCCCGCGAUGUGAGAGCGUGAAGACAGCGCUUUGGGGAUAGUAAGUCCUCUGGGAGCACUGGCCCCAGGCCCCACCUAGAGCUUGUGGCUGCCCAGUGAAUCCCAGCUAUGACCUCGCCCUGGCUUGGGUUGGGGGUGUUCUUCGUGGUGGUGGUCGCCAGGCGCCAGCUCCCAAAGCGUUUUUUUUUUUUUUGGACAAAGGUUUAGGGGAAAAUAUUUGAAACCCAAAACGAAAUAAACUAUACAAAUCCGCUUA